GACUGGUCAGAUUUGUGCUUCAAGAGGAUCCCUCCGGCUGCACCAGGCCAAAGGAGGAGGCCACUGCUACUGCAGGGUCCAGACCAGCUUCAGUCCUGGGCGGGGCCAGAGAAGACCCAAGUCAGGGACUUCUGAUGAACAGUGUGACCCUGCCACCUCAAGAGGCCCCUGUCAGCCUACGCACAGGCCACAUGGACCUUCCAUCCACACCCCUCAGGGCUGCUCCUGCAGGCUGCCCCUCCCUCACCGAGCAGGCUCAAUCUGGCUCAGGCAGGAUGGCUGCGGGCUCAGCUUAACCGGCCAGGCAGGCUUCCCUUUGCCUACUUCGGAAACUCACAGAGACCUGUCACCCCAAGAGCUGGGACCCUGACCUCGCGAGUCCAGCGU